CGCGCAAGCGGGACCACACUAAGGAGGUACGCGAAGCGAAUGUGGCACCACGUGACUCCUCUCUCACACUCUCAUUCUACAUAGCCUUCUCUUACUCUAUCUUUCUCUCGACAUCUUUCUUACUCUUUCGCCCCCUCUUUGUCACACUUACGUACGUGCUCUCCCUCCCCUCUUUCUACGAUCCUUAUUCGAACGACGCAGUUGCGCGUACCUACCGCCGGAGCAACUGCGUCGUAGGCUUCUCCGAGAACGAGAUCCGUGUAUCGCGUCGUUUCCUUGUCCGGCGACGACAUCGUCCAGCCACAGGACGAUCCCAGACACCGAUCUAUAUAGGCAACGCGACUUGCGAAGGAACGGCGUGGAAAUCGUGAAACGGCACCCACACACGAUUCAACGCAUUUGCAAAUGAAGCGAUCGGUAAGAGAACUUACCGGAAACGGCCUCGCAUGCAGCGUCAUGAAAGCAAUCUCUGACUGGACUUACCUGGAAAUCAAAGGAAACAAUUAUUAGGAAAAGUGAUUAAGUUGCACGAUUCGUUGUACGAUUUCAUUUAAAUUCAAAAGUAACAGGAGCAAAGUACGUUGGAUUUUGUUCGAAAAGUGAGAGCAGAAACACGAUGAGCGACCAGGAAGGAGAAAAAGAAGGGUAACAUGUAGAAAGACAGAGAAAGAAGCAGAGAGAAGGACGCGGUCUAGAUGAAAGCAGCCCAAAAGGGAGGUCGCCGCCCUUCCAGGAACCCUUAUAAAACUUGGACCCGAUCUUCCUAACACGCACGCUAAAAUGUUUCCAUACACGCUUGCUCGAGGUUCUCUCAACAAAAUUCUCUCUCUGAUGAUUGAAAUAAAAUAUUCUGUAGUUAUCCUUGUUAAUAAAAAAUGAAUUGAAAAUAUC